rnacentral:lncRNA from 1 species
UAUGUUAAUUCCUUAUUUUUACUAAUGUGUUCAAAUAAUCCCUUUUCUAACGUAUGGAGGGAGGAGAAAUAUAGGGAAUGGAGUACUGCUGCUACCUCGCUCACUGGAAAAUAAAUAUAUGGAAGUUAAUUUAUUUGAAAAGAACAUUAAUUUUGUAAGACUAGUGAAUGGUGUGUAAUUUUAAUGGAACGCUAUGAAUACAAGUUAAAGCUAAUGAACCCAAUUUGCAAAACCAAUACAGAUACAUGCUACCCUAUCUUCAGAUAUAUCCUACCCUAUCUUCAGAUACAUACUACCCUAUCUUCAGAUAUAUCCUACCCUAUCUUCAGAUAUAUACUACCCUAUCUUCAGAUAUAUACUACCCUAUCUUCAGAUACACACUAUCCUAUCUUCAGAUAUAUACUACCCUAUCUUCAGAUACACACUACCCUAUCUUCAGAUAUAUACUACCCUAUCUUCAGAUACAUACUACCCUAUCUUCAGAUAUAUACUACCCUAUCUUCAGAUAUAUCCUACCCUAUCUUCAGAUACAUACUACCCUAUCUUCAGAUAUAUCCUACCCUAUCUUCAGAUACAUACUACCCUAUCUUCAGAUAUAUACUACCCUAUCUUCAGAUAUAUACUACCCUAUCUUCAGAUAUAUCCUACCCUACCUUCAGAUAUAUACUACCCUAUCUUCAGAUACACACUACCCUAUCUUCAGAUAUAUACUACCCUAUCUUCAGAUAUAUCCUACCCUAUCUUCAGAUAUAUCCUACCCUACCUUCAGAUAUAUACUACCCUAUCUUCAGAUACACACUACCCUAUCUUCAGAUAUAUACUACCCUAUCUUCAGAUACAUACUACCCUAUCUUCAGAUAUAUACUACCCUAUCUUCAGACAUAUACGAUACAUACUACCCUAUCUUCAGAUACACACUACCCUAUCUUCAGAUACACACUACCCUAUCUUCAGAUACAUACUACCCUAUCUUCAGAUACACACUACCCUAUCUUCAGAUACACACUACCCUAUCUUUAGAAAUAUACUACCCUAUCUUCAGAUACACACUACCCUAUCUUUAGAAAUAUACUACCCUAUCUUCAGAUACAUACUACCCUAUCUUUAGAAAUAUACUACCCUAUCUUCAGAUACACACUACCCUAUC